GAUAAACGCUGGCGGCGUGCCUAACACAUGCAAGUCGAGCGAUUCUCUUCGGAGAAGAGCGGCGGACGGGUGAGUAACGCGUGGGUAACCUGCCCUGUACACACGGAUAACAUACCGAAAGGUAUGCUAAUACGAGAUAAUAUACUUUUAUCGCAUGGUAGAAGUAUCAAAGCUUUUGCGGUACAGGAUGGACCCGCGUCUGAUUAGCUAGUUGGUAAGGUAAUGGCUUACCAAGGCGACGAUCAGUAGCCGACCUGAGAGGGUGAUCGGCCACAUUGGAACCGAGACACGGUCCAGACUCCUACGGGAGGCAGCAGUGGGGAAUAUUGCACAAUGGGCGAAAGCCUAAUGCAGCAACGCCGCGUGAGCGAUGAAGGCCUUCGGGUCGUAAAGCUCUGUCCUAUGGGAAGAUAAUGACGGUACCAUAGGAGGAAGCCCCGGCUAACUACGUGCCAGCCGCCGCCGUAA
rnacentral:rRNA from 1 species